rnacentral:rRNA from 1 species
AUCAACUUUCGAUGGUAGGAUAGAGGCCUACCAUGGUGGUAACGGGUAACGGGGUGUUAGGGCACGACACCGGAGAGGGAGCCUGAGAAACGGCUACCACAUCCAAGGAUGGCAGCAGGCGCGCAAAUUACCCAAUCCCGACACGGGGAGGUAGUGACAAUAAAUAACAAUACGGGGUUCUUUAGGAUCUCGUAAUUGGAAUGAGUACAAUUUAAAUCUCUUAACGAGGAACAAUUGGAGGGCAAGUCUGGUGCCAGCAGCCGCGGUAAUUCCAGCUCCAAUAGCGUAUAUUAAAGUUGUUGCAGUUAAAAAGCUCGUAGUUGAAUUUCGGGGUUAGUAGGUUGGUCAUGCCUCUGGUAUGUACUGGUCUCACUGAUUCCUCCUUCCUGAUGAGCCGUAAUGCCAUUAAUUUGGUGUUGCGGGGAAUUUGGACUGUUACUUUGAAAAAAUUAGAGUGUUUAAAGCAAGCUAACGCUUGAAUACAUUAGCAUGGAAUAAUGAAAUAGGACGUUCGAUCCUAUUUUGUUGGUUUCUAGGAUUGACGUAAUGAUUAAUAGGGAUAGUUGGGGGCAUUAGUAUUCAAUUGUCAGAGGUGAAAUUCUUGGAUUUAUUGAAGACUAACUACUGCGAAAGCAUUUGCCAAGGAUGUUUUCAUUAAUCAAGAACGAAAGUUAGGGGAUCGAAGACGAUCAGAUACCGUCGUAGUCUUAACCAUAAACUAUGCCGACUAGGGAUCGGAUGAUGUUAAUUUUUUAAUGACUCAUUCGGCACCUUACGGGAAACCAAAGUGUUUGGGUUC